AUUUAGCAGAGAGUAUUGCCGGUAGUCUUAAUGUUACCAACUGCUAUGUGUGUGGAGGUACUAACAUGGGAGACCAAUGGCCUUGGGAAGCAAAGGAGGUAAUGUCCGGUUCUGAGGCAGUUGACCAAUUAAUAUCUACACAAGCCGACUAUCGUAUGAGUGUUAGAGGUAAAUCUGAGUGGAGAUUGAAGACCUCCAUCAUAGGUUAUGUUUGUAUAGCGAGGAAAGGAAUGAUGUAUAAUACUUCUGUAGGAGAAUUAACUUGUCUAGGGCAAAAAGCUUAUGAUGAUGAUACAAAGAAUACAACUUGG